UACGUAGGGGGCGAGCGUUGUCCGGAUUUAUUGGGCGUAAAGGGCACGCAGGCGGUCUACCGCGUUCGGAGUGACAGCUUCUGGCUUAACCGGGAGAGGGUUCUGAAAACGGGUAGACUUGAGGGCCAAAGAGGAACACAGAAUUCCGGGUGUAGUGGUGAAAUGCGUAGAUAUCCGGAGGAAUACCAAUGGCGAAGGCAGUGUUCUGGGUGGCAACUGACGCUGAGGUGCGAAAGCCAGGGGAGCGAACGGG
rnacentral:rRNA from 1 species